AAGUUGUCUAGGCUGGUCUCGAACUCCUAACCUCAGGUGAUCUACCCACCUCAGCCUCCCAAAGUGCUGGGAUUACAGGUGUGAGCCACCAAGCCUAGCCCCAAAAUUUUAUUUCUGAACUUUAGAAGCUGAGAAACAGGCUCUUAAAACAAUACCAAUACACACAGUAAUAUUCUGUCAGACCCAGUUGACCUUCCUCAGUGACAUACUCCUGCCUCAGCCUUCUUGAAAUCAAACUGUAGGUUUAUUUCAAAUUCAUAAUUUCUGAGGGAGCAAGAUGCUUUACUUAGCAGCAGCAAAUGAUUAUAUUUUAUAGCCUAUUGAUUAAGACCUUUACUAUUUAGUAAGAUGCCUAAGCAUCUCCUGAACUUGCCCAACUCUUUCCAUCCCUCUUCCAUAAUUCUACUCCAAGGUAUCCCAUUCGCUGGGUUACUUUCAGAGCAUCCUAACGAAUCUUUCUGCUCUCAAUCUUGGUAGUUUCCAUUCUUCACACUGUAACACAGUAAUUGUUCUAAAAUGCAGAUGUGAUGGGUUCCAUCUCCUUACUCAAAAUCUUUUUUAUUGUUUCCCAUUGCUUUUAGGAUAAAGUCCAAAACUCAUUCCUUAACUACUACUGAGUGUCUAAUUUAGAAUAUAGCAUAAAAUGUUAUCUGUUUUAGCCACAAAAUUAUUUGAUCAAGUUCAGCCAGUAUAGGCCCUCUAGUUGGUCUAAAGGCCUGCUGCAUGACACUCAGAGACAACUGGGCAAGUGACCUUUGUUCAGGUUCCACAGUACUGACAUUCAGGAAUUUACUUAGCUCAGGCUGUUUGGGUGGAGCACCUAAAGGCGACAAAUGAUAACUAUAUUUAUGCCUGAGUGAAUGAGAAUCAAGUUUUAUCUAGUCUCACCCUGAGAUUGAGGAAAUACACCUGGUACCUAGCACAUACCUACAAUACACUAUCACAGAACUCUUCCAGCCUUCUGUAAGGCCAGACUUGGGAGAGAAGAAGAGGCUUCCUGAAAGUCUGGUGUGUCUUUCAUUCACUCAGAGCUUAUCUGUAAUUGAGUGGAGAACUCUCCUGGUAAGGAUUUUAAGGUCUAGACUCUUGAAGCUUUCUAUCAUCUGGAGAACAUAGCUAAUUUUUUGGCCUCAUGACUCUCCUGACUUCCUUCUGUAUCCUCUAGGUAGAAGAUACAAUGCUGUUUAGCCUAGAAAUGUUUCAUCUGAUCAGUUUCAAAGUCCAGGUUCCAAAAGGCAGGUGACUGUCUAACUCAGAAUUCUCACUCACAUUUGGCAAUGACUAACAGUUACAUAACAGACAAUAUCUGAAUAUUCACUAUAUUUAAGUCACUUGGUUAAAUAUACAUAACUUACAUAGAUUACUUAAAUCACACAACAAUUGAGUAGUUGCAAUCCAUCCCCAUUUUAUGGAUUUUAAAACUGAGGUACACAAAGGCUUUUCUUUUAACCCAAGAAAACAUCAUAGAUGGAAGUACCAAGCUCUGAACCAAGGCAAUGCCAGGCUGCACUCUUAGCAUUUUGCUAUACAGCUUCCCUAUCAUCUCACCCCGAAAUGUGUGAAGCAAACUGCCCUACUGACUGCAAUAUAAAAUCCAAAUUCCCCACCCUAGGCAACACAGCAAGAUAUCAUCUCUACAAAAAAAUUAAAAAACUAGCUGGGCACAGUGGCAAAUGCCUGCAGUCCCAGCUACUCAGGAGGCUGAAGUAGGAGGUGGAUCAUUUGAGCCCUAUGAUUGUGCCACUGCACUCCAGCCUGGGUGACAGAGUGAGACCCUGGCUCUAAAUAAAUAAAAUCCAAGUUCCUCAGCAAAGGAUGCCCUUUACAACUUGCCCUGAUUUAUCUUUCCAAUCUCAACCCUCAUCUAUCCUACACUCUAGUAACACUAAUUAUAUGCCAAAGAUGGCAUACUCAGGCCGUGUGCAGUGGCUCACGCCUGUAAUCCCAGCACUUUGAGAGGCCGAGGCAGGCGAAUCACCUGAGGUCAGGAGUUCGAGACCAGUCUGGUCAACAUGGAGAAACCCCAUCUCUACUAAAAAUAUAAAAAUUAGUAUUUUUUAUACUAAUUUACACUACAGGCAUGGUGGCAGGUGCCCAUAGUUCCAGCUACUCAGAAGGCUGAGGCAGAAGAAUCGCUUGAACCCAGGAGGCGGAGGUUGCAGUGAGCCAAGAUUGCGCCACUUCACUCCAGCCCGGGUGACAGAGCGAGACUGUCUCAAAACCAAACAAAAAAGAUGGCAUACUUUCCCCGCUGCAUGCCUUCACACAUUCCUUUCUCUACCAUUGGUUUUUCUUCCUUCUUUAUUUACACCAAUUAAAUGCCAUCUCCUCUAUAAGGCUGUCUCAAUGUUACCAAAGUUGGACCCUUUCCUUUGUGUUCCCAUAGCAGUAUGCAAACACUGUUAAUGCAGAACUCAUCACUGUAUUAGGGUUCAUGCAUUAGCCACAAUGGAGCAUGAACCCCUUGAAGG
rnacentral:lncRNA from 10 species